rnacentral:rRNA from 1 species
CCUACGGGAGGCAGCAGUGAGGAAUAUUGGUCAAUGGGCGGAAGCCUGAACCAGCCAAGUCGCGUGAGGGAUUAAGGCCCUAUGGGUCGUAAACCUCUUUUGUCAGGGAGCAAGGUCGUCCACGUGUGGGCGUAUGGAGAGUACCUGAAGAAAAAGCAUCGGCUAACUCCGUGCCAGCAGCCGCGGUAAUACGGAGGAUGCGAGCGUUAUCCGGAUUUAUUGGGUUUAAAGGGUGCGUAGGCGGGACCUUAAGUCAGCGGUAAAAUUGCGGUGCUCAACCGCGCCCCGCAGUUGAAACUGGACGCCUUGAGUUCACAACAGGCAGGCGGAAUUCGUGGUGUAGCGGUGAAAUGCAUAGAUAUCACGAGGAACCCCGAUUGCGAAGGCAGCCUGCCGGGGUGCGACUGACGCUGAGGCUCGAAGGUGCGGGUAUCAAACAGGAUUAGAUACCCCUGUAGUC